rnacentral:rRNA from 1 species
UGAGGAAUAUUGGGCAAUGCCCGCAAGGGUGACCCAGCAACGCCGCGUGGGGGAUGAAUGUCGUAAGAUUGUAAACUCCUGUUAGAGGGGAAGAAUAGUACCGGUUGGACCGGUAUAUGACUGUACCCUCAGAGAAAGCCCCGGCUAACUACGUGCCAGCAGCCGCGGUAAUACGUAGGGGGCAAGCGUUGUCCGGAUUUACUGGGUGUAAAGGGCGCGCAGGCGGGAUAAAAAGUCAGUGGUGAAAUCCUACAGCCUAACUGUAGAACUGCCUUUGAUACUUUUAUUCUUGAGUUCGGGAGAGAGAGACGGAAUUCCAGGUGUAGUGGUGAAAUACGUAGAUAUCUGGAAGAACACCAGUUGCGAAGGCGGUCUCUUGGUCCGACACUGACGCUGAGGCGCGAAAGCGUGGGGAGCAAACA